UUUCCCCUCACCAAAUCCAUCCUUAAUCUGCAUAACAAAGAGAAAAACAUGACCAACUAGAUUCUGUAUAACAAAGAGGUUCAUGGAUUUUCUGAAAUAGACUGAAUCGGACUUAUCUCCUAUAAAUUGAAAACUACACUACAAAAAUUGAAGCGCAGAAGCAGAAUUUAAGGGCACUGUAAGAUUUUUAUACAUCCAGCACAUGACCUUUGCUGCAUUACAAAAAUCCACAUCCAAUUUCAAAGCACAAAAUACACAAGCAGAUUAAGCGACCACAAAACAAAAAAGUUAAAAUCCUGAGAGGCAGCACAAUCUUGUUGCCUAAUCGAAUUCACUAGGGAGAACAAAA
rnacentral:lncRNA from 1 species